UACGGAGGAUCCAAGCGUUAUCCGGAUUUAUUGGGUUUAAAGGGUGCGUAGGCGGCCCGGUAAGUUAGAGGUGAAAGCCCGUGGCUCAACCACGGAAUUGCCUCUGAUACUGUCGGGCUAGAGAAUAGUUGCUGUGGGCGGAAUGUGUAGUGUAGCGGUGAAAUGCUUAGAGAUUACACAGAACACCGAUUGCGAAGGCAGCUCACAAAGCUAUUUCUGACGCUGAGGCACGAAAGCGUGGGGAGCAAACAGGAUUAGAUACCCGGGUA
rnacentral:rRNA from 1 species